GCGUACUUCCAUGCUCUGAAAGAAGCCCGGGCCUUCCUCCGUCAGAAGUUGCCCGACGUCACUCCAGACGACCUGAAGACGGUGCCUUCCAUUGCUGAUACAUUGGAGCUCUCGGGUUCGGAAGAUGGAGGAGGAUCGGGUGGAGAUGAUGAGGAUGGUCUUGAGGACGACGUUGAGAUCGACAUCAGCAACCUCGACCCUCCUCUUGGCCACAUUGGAUGACUUCCCCACCCCAAUCCUUUGU
rnacentral:lncRNA from 1 species